UACGAAGGGGGCUAGCGUUGCUCGGAAUCACUGGGCGUAAAGCGCACGUAGGCGGACUCUUAAGUCGGUGGUGAAAUCCUGGAGCUCAACUCCAGAACUGCCUUCGAUACUGGGAGUCUCGAGUUCGGGAGAGGUGAGUGGAACUGCGAGUGUAGAGGUGAAAUUCGUAGAUAUUCGCAAGAACACCAGUGGCGAAGGCGGCUCACUGGCCCGAUACUGACGCUGAGGUGCGAAAGCGUGGGUAGCGAACAGG
rnacentral:rRNA from 1 species